rnacentral:lncRNA from 1 species
UUUUUAAUGUAUUAGAAGGAGACAGGGUACAAAAAGACUUCCUUCUUGGCACCUUUAUGUUGAAAACUUAGGAAAUGUAUACUAGAUCCUGGAAAAUAUGGCAUGUUAAAGAGUGCAUUCUUUAAAUGACACUUUGGUAGUAUGUGUAACACCAAAAGGAAAGGAUCAAAAUUCUAGCUGGAGCCCAAGAAAUAGUCAAAUCUGGGAGCAGGGCACCCCCUGCAUUCAUCUGUGUAUCACAGCCAGUCAGCACAGAACCUAGCCUGGAGUUGGUACUUAACAAAGAAUGAAAGGUAAGUGAGUACUGUGUAUAAAACCUACCUACAAUGUAGAUUCUUAGACAGGCUUGUGUUCUAAUCUUGAUGCCACCGUUUACUAGUUUGUUGGUCUUAGCUGAGUUGCUGUAUCUUACUCAGCCCCAUUUCCUCACCUAUAAAAUGGGCAUAAUCAUAGUUAUGUUUAGUUUUCAGGACUUUGUAAAGAUUUAAUGAGGUAAUGCAUGUGAAUUGCUUAGUGAAGUGCCUUGCACAUGACAAGCAAUCAAUAAAUGAUAGCUUUACAAAUUGUACUUUGGAUUUCUAGUUUGCUUUUUUUUUUUCUAAGAUUUUAUUUACUCAUGAGAGACACAGAGACUGAGGCAGAGAUAUAGGCAGAGGGAGAAGCAGUUCAUGACCUGAACUGAAGGAAGAUGCUAAACCACUGAGCCACCCAGUCGUCCCUGAAUAACUAGUUGUAAGAUGAAGAAUAAAAGACCUUUCCUCUCCAAUUCUUGUAAAUCACUCCAGAACAAAACAAAACAAAAACAACGAGCAACAAAAACACAAAUUGCCAUCUUUGAUGAAAUUGUAAAUCCAACUACUCUGUAUGAGAAUGGAAGGCUGAGGAAUCCCUGGGUGGCGCAGCGGUUUGGCGCCUGCCUUUGGCCCAGGGCGCGAUCCUGGAGACCUGGGAUUGAAUCCCACAUCGGGCUCCCGGUGCAUGGAGCCUGCUUCUCCCUCUGCCUAUGUCUCUGCCUCUCUCUCUUUCUCUCUCUGUGACUAUCAUAAAUAAAUAAAAAUUAAAAAAAAAAAAAGAGAAUGGAAGGCUGAUAAUGAGUGGUGACUGACUUAGCUUAGUAGAGGAAAGAUUAAAAUAUAAGCACCUGAAGAAGGAAAAACUAAUGAGGGAGACUGGAAAUAACACCUCAGAAGACCAGGAUGAGAACAAGGUUAAUUUGAGUCUUUACAAAAACCAUUUACACCAACACCACCUCAAGCAAUAAGGCAAGUCUUCCUCCUUCACUUUCACAAUAUAUAGGAGGUGUAUUCUGGAGGAAUUGAACCCGAGAAAUUCAGGACUAAGGAACACUAAGCACAUGUAAAGCAGCAGUGAGAACAGUCGUAAGGGCUAGAUGACAAAUGGGGAGAGAAAAGAACAGACUGCUGUCACUGGUCAAGGAGAGCCCUAAUCUCUUUCCCCUACCUGCACCUGAUAACACCUAUAGCCUGGUGUGUUCAGGCCUGAGAGUAGAUUGGAGUACUGUUUUUGGGAAACACUGAAUGGCCUGAGAUAAAAGAUUUAGAAUAUUAGAUUGGGUUAUUAGUCCCAAUUCUUAACUCCUGUAUAAGGAGUUCUUGUGUUUCAUGGUAGGUAGAGUGUACCCCCUCACCCCUUACUUUGAGUUGGGCCACGUGAAUUGCUUGGCCCUGUUAGCCAGCAUGAAAUGAACAGAAACUUAAAAUAGGCUUGCAUGGUUGCUUUGCUCUCUUGGUUUCCUGUUUUUCACCAUGAGACAAAUAAACCAUGGAUAGACACUGGUCUAAGGAAGAUGAGAGACAUGUGGAGCAGACCUGAAACUAAUGUGAGGCCUAGAAUCAAGCCCAGCAGAAUCCAGCCUACAGAAGCAAAAAAUACAUGCUUGUGUUAUGUGCCAUUGCAAUUUUGUGGCUAUUUGUAAGGGAAAGAAGCUAACAAAGAUAAUGAAUUAUGGAAGUGCUCCCCAGAAGAAAAACUGACUUCCUACUCUUUCACUAUGCAGUCAGGGGCACCAAUUGACAAGCACCUGCCAUCCUUGCACUUUUAGUUAGCUUUUUAAUGCAGUCAUUUUACACUUUGUUUUUUUAUUUAUUUAAAAGUAAUCUCAGUGUGGGGCUUGAACUCACCACCCCAAGAUCGAUAGUUGCAUGCUCUACUGAUCUACUCUAGCCAGGUGCCCCUAAUGCAUUAAUUUUAAAUGUGAAAGGACAACCAAGGGGGCACCUGGGGGACGUGGUUGAGUGCCCAACUCUUGGUUUGGCUCAGGUCAUGAUGUCAGGAUCCUUAGAUUGAGCCCUGUAUCAGGUUCUGUGCUCAGCAGGAGGUCUCCUUGAGAUUCUCUUUCUUCCUCUGUCCCAGGUUCUCU